rnacentral:rRNA from 1 species
GGCUCAGGAUGAACGCUAGCGACAGGCUUAACACAUGCAAGUCGAGGGGUAACAGGGUAGCAAUACCGCUGACGACCGGCGCACGGGUGAGUAACGCGUAUGCAACCUGCCUAGUAACUGGGGGAAUAGCUACCCUGAAAGGGGAAUUAACACCGCAUAACACUAUUGAUUCGCAUGGAUUGGUAGUUAAAUGUAGCGAUACAGGUUAUAGAUGGGCAUGCGUGACAUUAGCUAGUUGGUGAGGUAACGGCUCACCAAGGCUACGAUGUCUAGGGGUUCUGAGAGGAAGGUCCCCCCACACUGGUACUGAGACACGGACCAGACUCCUACGGGAGGCAGCAGUGAGGAAUAUUGGUCAAUGGGCGCAAGCCUGAACCAGCCAUGUCGCGUGCAGGAAAGACUGCCCUAUGGGUUGUAAACUGCUUUUAUAGUAGAAGAAACACAUCUACGUGUAGACGUCUGCCAGUAUACUAUGAAUAAGCAUCGGCUAACUCCGUGCCAGCCGCCGC